AGAGCAGAAUCGUUCUAGGCAUUUCUUUGCCUUUCCUCUUUCCUCUCUCGCAUACCUCGGGUUCCAUCGUCUGCCGUUCUGAUUUCUGUUUUCAUCUUUCUUCGUUGGUUUUGUUGUUCAAAAUCUUGAGCCCUUUGCUUUGCUGUUCUUCGAUUAUUGUUAUUUUAUGCUUCUUUUGGGUUGGGUUCGAAAUAUUUUUCCGCUCAUUCGAUCGGUCUUUUAGAAGAAGUUUUGCAUGUUUCUGACAGCGAGGGUUUUGAUUUUGCAUUUUUUUCGUGUGUGUUUUUUUUAUUUUUUUGUUGAUAUCAGAUAUCAGAGAUUUGUACCUAUUUUGGAUUCGAUUGGGAUUUGGUUGGAACCGAUCUAAUCCGGCGUUUCCAGGUCAGUUUUGCUCUGACGACGAGCCCGUAGCUUAUUCCCUUGAGAGCGACAAGCUCAAAACGGGGAGUAUUGAGAGCAUUGGAGGAGAAGGAGAAGAAGACGAAGAGGAAGAGCCCGUGGACGAGCCCGACGAUGCCAUGGAGGAAGACGCAGUCAACCCCACCGCCGUCUUUUGCAUCAGGCUCAAGCAGCCCAAGUCCAAUUUGCAGCACAAGAUGAGCGUUCCCGAGCUUUGUUACAAUUUUAGGUUCUAGUAGCAAAGUUUCUGUAUCGACGAGGAUUCUUGGCAUAUCCCAGUACAGAUGGCUUCCUAUGAUGCUGCAGCCAAAGUUCCGGUUAUAUCUAAAUGCGGAAAAAUUCGAAAAGCUUUCCACUCGAAAAUGUUUACAAGUAAGCUUACAUAUAUGAUUCUGUUUGUGUAUUAUAUUUUUUCUAGAAUUCGGUUACUAUGCACUCAUCAGGGAAGUCAAAUCUCAUGUGAUUUGUACAUCCACAUUCCUUACAAUUUGCAUCUCAUUCUAUGCAAUCUGUUGGUGAUCAAUUCAAUUCUCAUCUUGAAGCUCUUCCUUCCAGAUAUGCAAUCUUUGGCCCUCUUUUGCAUCUCAGUAUAUGUGUACAGUAGAAUCUUACUGCAUGUAUUAAUAAUCUAUAAUACAUGAACAUAUUAUAGUAACUAAGUUUAAUCCCUUAUUUUAGUAUUUAACUGGGAUGUAGAUUUCAUAAUUAAAAUAAUGCUAGCAUUAUUAAAUGUUAGUAAUUACACUUCACUCAAUUAUAUCAAUCCCUUUCAAUAUGUAGAUGUAAGUCCCUUAUUAGUGCCAUCAGGGGUUGAUUAAUCCUCAUAUGCGUAGCAAUAAUUAUUAGUGCCAUGCUAUGUUAGUGCUUACAUGAAUGCAUUUUCAAAUGAAUGUUAGUAUAUUCUUGGGUAUGUUAUCAACACUAUUCUCCAAUCCAAGUUCAGCCAGGUACCUACUAACCGAUCUCUCAAUCUCUUUACAUCAAUAUAUUGGUUUUUCGUUUGCUCAUCAUAUGCUUUGCACAAUUACAUAUUUAAAUUUUCCAGAAUAUAUGUAUGUAUGCUAAAUAACGAAAAGCUUCCGGUACUGUUCACUUUAAUGAAAAACCACAUUUUUACACUAAAAGGUCAAUCCUGGUACUAUUCACUUUACCCUUUAUUUGUCUUUAUCGUUAAAACUCAAAGUUUUUGAGCCAUUUUCAUUAGUUUUCCUAAAUAAUAAUGGGUGAAUAAUGAAUGUUCUGCCAAGUAGCAUGUUAUUACCAAUCUUGGUAGAUUUACAAAGCAUAUGAGAGAGUUCGUGUGAAAUUUGCUUUGGUGGCUGAGGUAAAAUCAACAAGCUAUAUUACACAUUUAACCAUUUACAUGUAUUUUAUCACAGAUGUUGAGAAACCUUAGAAUUAAUCAUCUGUAACAAUAAAUGUUAAUUAUUCAAGCUUGGAUUUUCUUGGCAGUGGCUUCCUUCGUUAACCUCUACAACUGAGUCUCUCUUUGCUUUCCCACUUUCUCCGGUACUCUCUCUCUUUCUAAUCUCUAUUGAGUUUUUUUUCAAUUUGUCAAUUUAUAUAAUUAAUUCUUUGAUAUCAUAUUUGAUGCGUUUGAUUUGGUUUUGUGAAUGUCUUCCUAACUUUUCCACUUUGGAUUCAAAUAAUAAAUUCAAUGUUUGUAUACAGAACAGAAUACUGAUUUUUGAACAAGGCAAUUCAAAGCUCGAAAAUUUGUAUGUUAUGCAUGAGCUGACUACUUUUUUUUCCCCACUUUUCGACUUUGAGAAAUUGCAGUAUUUUAGCCCAAUUUGCUAAAUUGUUUUGUUUAUUUUUAAAUUAAUUAUGUAUGAAUUAACAUGGAAAUGUUAUAUGAAUUUGGUAUAAACUUUAAUAGAACUUAUAU